CCUACGGGUGGCUGCAGUGGGGAAUAUUGGGCAAUGGGCGCAAGCCUGACCCAGCAACGCCGCGUGAAGGAAGAAGGCUUUCGGGUUGUAAACUUCUUUUCUCAGGGACGAACAAAGUGACGGUACCUGAAGAAUAAGCCACUGCUAACUACGUGCCAGCAGCCGCGGUACUCCGUAGGGGGCCAGCGUUAUCCGGAUUUAUUGGUUGUAAUGGUCGUGUAGGCGGUGGCGCAAGUCAGAUGUGAAAGCUCAGGGCUCAACCCCGAGCCUGCAUUUGAAACUGUGUUUCUUGAGUGCUGGAGAGGUAAGUGGAAUUCCGAGUGUAGCGGUGAAAUGCGUAGAUAUAAGGAGGAACACCAGUGGCGAAGGCGGAUUGCUGGACAGUAACUGACGCUGAGGCGCGAAAGCGUGGGGAGCAAACAGGAUUAGAUACCCUUGUAGUC
rnacentral:rRNA from 1 species